ACGGAGGGAGCUAGCGUUGUUCGGAAUUACUGGGCGUAAAGCGCACGUAGGCGGCUUUUUAAGUCAGGGGUGAAAUCCCGGGGCUCAACCCCGGAACUGCCCUUGAAACUGGGAAGCUAGAAUCUUGGAGAGGCGAGUGGAAUUCCGAGUGUAGAGGUGAAAUUCGUAGAUAUUCGGAGGAACACCAGUGGCGAAGGCGGCUCACUGGCUCGAUACUGACGCUGAGGUGCGAAAGUGUGGGGAGCAAACAGGAUUAGAUACCCUGGUAGUCCACACCGUAAACGAUGAAUGCCAGACGUCGGGGGGCUUGCCCUUCGGUGUCACACCUAACGGAUUAAGCAUUCCGCCUGGGGAGUACGGUCGCAAGAUUAAAACUCAAAGGAAUUGACGGGGGCCCGCACAAGCGGUGGAGCAUGUGGUUUAAUUCGA
rnacentral:rRNA from 1 species